GCUAGGGUGGCAGAGCCUGGUUACUGCAAAAGGUCUAAGCCCUUUGAACAGAGGUUCAAAUCCUCUCCCCAGUU
rnacentral:tRNA from 1 species